GAGAGAGAGAGAGAGAGAGAGAGAUGUUGCUAAAGUUCGGCGCUGUGCCUCGAGAAGCCCGCGGUGUUGGAAAAGGGUACGACGGAGAUUUCAGGGAAAAGAAGAGGCAGAAACUCGGUGAACAACCCGACAAAAAGUUUUACUUCCAACGGCAACAGUAAUAAUUCUUGGCGAGCACGACGGAGCAAACCACUGCUGGAGCUUAUUUGCAUGAAAUAAAGCAGCAUUCAGACAGAGGCAGGACCAGUAAAUAUCUCCACUCACUCUGCUCCCUUUUGGAGGACUGCAAUCUCUUUUUUGGUUAAAGAAAUUAACUGUUGCAUACGUCCAGCUUCCUUCUGGCAUGAAGAGUUACAACUGUGACAGUUUGCCACCUCGAAGGAAUACAACUGGGUCACUGGAUCUCAACUCAACUGAACACCUACAAGAAAAAGUUUGGAGUGAUGUGUUAGAAACCACUCUUCACCAUCAUCGUAAUCAAAACACCAACUGAGGGAAGCCUUUGGAAAAUCGGUGUGCCAUUUCUUGUACAAUCCAUGCCAAGUUGGUGCACUUCAUGACAGCUGAGACAGCUCGAGCUGUAGGAUAAGGCGGCACAGGUCAGAGGUCACCAGAGCAUGCUGGACAAGAAGCUUGUUCGUCCUACUGACUGACUCUGUUGUUUAAUCGUGUAUGAAAUAAAUCGUAUCACAGGUUCUUAUGUGGCUGUGUGGAAUUUAGAGUAUUUUAGGCACUUGAUCUCUUUUUCUUUAAUCUAGUAUGUAUGUAUCUAGUUUUAUGAACUUAGGUGAACUCAUUUUUUUUAUUUAUGCAUUUAUUUCUGUCUUUUUUCCUUUCUUCCCCCAAAAAUAAUCUUCCAAAAGAAAACGUUUAAUCUCUGCAUUUUAAUUGUUUGUAAGCUAUAUGUAUUUUCCCUUUAGUUAAUUACAUGUUUUAUUCAAUUAAUCUUUUUGUCUUGGCUUCUAAACACCCAUUAACCACAUUGUAAUUUAUUUAUCUAUUUAUUUACAUAAUAAAAACAAAGCGAAACAAUA